rnacentral:lncRNA from 1 species
UUCUAUUCCCGUAUCUUUAUUUCUGCAUUGGAUACCUAAGGCUCCAUCAAUAGUUCCGCCUCCAUCGUCCAUACGCCACUCAAAUCUGUUCACCACUGCAUCUCACGUUGCAGUCACCAUCACUAUCUUCAAUCCUCGUUCAUUUCUUAGCCCUUCUUCUCAUUGACUUCAGUCGACAUCCACUUCAAUCGACAUCUUCAAUCGCUGCUACCUAGUCUUCAAUCGUCACCGCCAAUCGCCGCCUCUUGAUCUUCAAACGAUACUGGAACGCCGCCACCGAUCUUCUAUCACCACCGCUAAUUGCCACCUUCUGAUCUUCAAUCGAUAUCGAAGCCACUAUCAACCUACAGGUUUACUAGUUAUUUCUUUGUUCAAUUUUUUGAACCUCAAAACUGCAUUAAAUCUCAUGUGUUAGAAGAAGGUUUUUAUUUUUCUUUUGGGGUUGGGAAACCAGCAAAGCGACUAGCUAAUUAUUGGAUUUUAUGAUGUAAUAAGUGUAGAUGGGUGUUUGGGUGAUGUCGAUGCUUUCUUUUUGUCGCAGGUGCUUGGGGGUGGGAAGAAAAAUAAAAGUAGAUGAUUAUGUGCGUUCGGUUGGGAGUGGUAUUAACCAGGGGCAUUUUUGGUACUUUUCUUUUUCUAAACAUGUCUAGUCCUGGUUUGAUCUUUCUGAUGGCUUUAUUGAUUGGUUGGAUCAGAAUUAUAUGGCGUAAGAGGGAAGAAUUAAUUGUUUAAGGCGAGAUCGAUAUGGGGAUUUUUUGACUGAAGGGUAUUUUGGGAAUAAGGUUAAGAAUUCUAUGGCGGUGGUUGUGGGUUGGUUCUUGUUGACUCAGAUUAGCAGACAUAGAUUCAAGAAGAUGGGUGGGUUCACAAGGAUUAAAGAUUUUUUUAACUGUACAGGGAGGAUAAAGAGCGAGGGCAUUUUUGGAAUAUAUAGGUUUUUUUGAUGAAUUUUGCGCCUGGUUUGAUAUGCGAGGUGAUAGGAUUGAAGAUUUUCUUAUGUGGCAGGCCUUAAAUGAAGUUCUUUUUUAUUAUUUUGUCAAUUCUUGGAAGCAGGGGCUUUGUGGUUAUUCUAUUAUGAAUUUAUUCAUGUGUAUUCAUUUAUAAAUAACGUUCUAGUUAUGUGUGAAUGGUUGUAUUCAUUUAUGAAUAGCACGUGUCUUCAUUUACGAUAGAAUGUGUAUUAAUUUAUAAAUAACAGUGUAUUCAUUUGUGAAUUGCAAUGUAUUCGUAUGUGAAUGAUUGUAUUUAUUUAUGAAUAGUAGUGUAUUAAUAUGAAUGGGUGUAUUUAUUUAUGAUUAGAGGUAUUCAUUUUAGGAAAAAAUGAUAAUUUUUACAUUAUUUUUUAUUUUCAAUUUAUGAAAAUACAUUGAAUUAUUUGUAAUUUGAUGUGUUUUCAUUUAUGAUUGGAAGUGCAUUGAGUUGGGAUUGAACUUCUAUUCAUUUUUUUUUUGAAAAACAAAAAACGUGAAAUAGUAGAAAAUAAUAUUUAUUUAAG